rnacentral:rRNA from 1 species
AUUGAACGCUGGCGGCAGGCCUAACACAUGCAAGUCGAGCGGGGUUUUCGGACCUAGCGGCGGACGGGUGAGUAAUGCGUAGGAAGCUACCCGAUAGAGGGGGAUACCAGUUGGAAACGACUGUUAAUACCGCAUAAUGUCUACGGACCAAAGUGUGGGACCUUCGGGCCACAUGCUAUCGGAUGCGCCUACGUGGGAUUAGCUAGUUGGUGGGGUAAUGGCUCACCAAGGCGACGAUCCCUAGCUGGUUUGAGAGGAUGAUCAGCCACACUGGAACUGAGACACGGUCCAGACUCCUACGGGAGGCAGCAGUGGGGGAAUAUUGGACAAUGGGCGCAAGCCUGAUCCAGCCAUGCCGCGUGU